rfam:Jejuia pallidilutea DNA, contig: NODE_112_1/1, strain: JCM 19538.
CAAACGGCUCUAAAAGAGCCACAAUACCUUCACUAGCAGGAUAUUU